rnacentral:rRNA from 1 species
UAGGGAAUCUUCGGCAAUGGACGAAAGUCUGACCGAGCAACGCCGCGUGAGUGAAGAAGGUUUUCGGAUCGUAAAACUCUGUUGUUAGAGAAGAACAAGGACGUUAGUAACUGAACGUCCCCUGACGGUAUCUAACCAGAAAGCCACGGCUAACUACGUGCCAGCAGCCGCGGUAAUACGUAGGUGGCAAGCGUUGUCCGGAUUUAUUGGGCGUAAAGCGAGCGCAGGCGGUUUCUUAAGUCUGAUGUGAAAGCCCCCGGCUCAACCGGGGAGGGUCAUUGGAAACUGGGAGACUUGAGUUCAGAAGAGGAGAGUGGAAUUCCAUGUGUAGCGGUGAAAUGCGUAGAUAUAUGGAGGAACACCAGUGGCGAAGGCGGCUCUCUGGUCUGUAACUGACGCUGAGGCUCGAAAGCGUGGGGAGCAAACAGG